rnacentral:lncRNA from 10 species
CGAGCGCAUUGGCUCAUGCCUGUAAUCCCAGAACUUUGGGAAGCCAAGGCAGGCAGAUCACUUGAGGACAGGAGUUUGAGACCAGCCUGGCCAACAUAGGGAAGUCCUGUAUCCAUGAAAAAUACAAAAAAUUAGCUGGGCGUGGUGGUGCGUGCCUAUAAUCCCAGCUACUCCAGAGGCUGAGGCAGGAGAAUCACUUGAACCUGGGAGGUAGAGGUUGCAGUGAGCUGAGAUUGAGCCACUGCACUUCAGCCUGGGUGACAGAGCGAAACUCUGUCUCUAAAAUAAAAUAAAAGAAAAAGAAAAACAUUUUUAGUCAGGGAAGAUUGGAACUCUUUUCAGCAAGUAUGCCAACCAAAGAGUUAAAAGUAUUGUGUGACUGGGCAUUAAUAUAAGCCCUUGAGCCUCUAUAUGUAAGAGACAGCAAUCAGACACUGAGCCACUUGCAUAGCCUUUUCGGGUUGUAGUUAAUUUAUUGAAAAAGCAGGCACAGUCACACCUCUAAUCAUAGAUAAGACAUACAGUUAAUGAUGAGAUAAGCCUUAAAGCCCAUGUAUGCCAGUUAUUUAUUUGCAGAUGGGAAUCUUCUCAACAUUUGUAGAAACAAUUGAAUGGCUUUAGAGUACUAGCAAACAUAUUACCUCUCUUUUAGCAAGAUGUACACUACAAGUAAUACUUUCACUAUGAUUUUUCUCAAAGUGGAUUUGGCUAAGAAUGUUUAAAAAUAUCUUGAAAAUUAAUUUAUUUCCUCAUGUUCCUUCUGUGAGGUACUUUGUUGUGAGACUGUGGUAAGUCACAAUAAAAUUAAUUUCAAGAACUAAAAU